AGAGUUUGAUCCUGGCUCAGAUUGAACGCUGGCGGUAGGCUUAACACAUGCAAGUCGUGCGAGAAAGUAUCUUCGGAUAUGAGUAGAGCGGCGGACGGGUGAGUAACGCGUAGGAAUCUACCUAGUAGAAGGGGAUAGCCCGGGGAAACCCGGAUUAAUACCGUAUACCUCCUUCGGGAGAAAGAAGGCCUCUCUUUGAAGCUUUCGCUAUUAGAUGAGCCUGCGUAAGAUUAGCUUGUUGGUGAGGUAAAGGCUCACCAAGGCGACGAUCUUUAGCUGGUCUGAGAGGACGAUCAGCCACAUUGGGACUGAGACACGGCCCAGACUCCUACGGGAGGCAGCAGUGGGGAAUAUUGGACAAUGGGCGCAAGCCUGAUCCAGCCAUACCGCGUGUGUGAAGAAGGCCUUCGGGUUGUAGAGCACUUUAAGCAGGGAGAAAAAGUUAUAAGUUAAUACCUUAUAACCGUGAUGUUACCCGCAGAAUAAGCACCGGCUAAUUCCGUGCCAGCAGCCGCGGUAAUACGGAAGGUGCAAGCGUUAAUCGGAAUUACUGGGCGUAAAGCGCGCGUAGGUGGUUUGUUAAGUUGGAUGUGAAAGCCCUGGGCUCAACCUAGGAACUGCAUCCAAAACUAACUCACUAGAGUACGAUAGAGGGAGGUAGAAUUCAUAGUGUAGCGGUGGAAUGCGUAGAUAUUAUGAAGAAUACCAGUGGCGAAGGCGGCCUCCUGG
rnacentral:rRNA from 1 species